AGCAUAUCAAUAAGCGGAGGAAAAGAAACUAACAAGGAUUCCCCUAGUAACGGCGAGUGAAGCGGGAAGAGCUCAAAUUUAAAAUCUGGCAGUGUAUUCUGUCCGAGUUGUAGUCUAGAGAAGCAUCAUCCGUGCUGGACCAUGUACAAGUCUCUUGGAACAGAGCGUCAUAGAGGGUGAGAAUCCCGUCCUUGACAUGGACUCCCAGUACUUUGUGUUGUGCUCUCAACGAGUCGAGUUGUUUGGGAAUGCAGCUCAAAAUGGGUGGUAAAUUCCAUCUAAAGCUAAAUAUUGGCGAGAGACCGAUAGCGAACAAGUACCGUGAGGGAAAGAUGAAAAGCACUUUGGAGAGAGAGUUAAACAGUACGUGAAAUUGUUGAAAUGGAAACGCUUGAAGUCAGUCGCGUUCUCUGGGAUUCAGCCUUGCUUUUGCUUGGUGCAUUUCCCGGUCUACGGGCCAGCAUGAAUUUUGACCAAUGGAAAAAGGCUUGGGGAAUGUGGCACCUUCGGGUGUGUUAUAGCCCCUUGUCACAUACGUUGGUUGGGAUUGAGGUCUUAGUGCACGCUUCGGUUGUGCUUUGAUGCUGGCGUAAUGGCUUUAAACGACCCGUCUUGAAACACGGACCAAGGAGUCUAACAUGUCUGCAAGUGUUUGGGUGCAAAACCCGAGCGCGUAAUGAAAGUGAUAGUUGGGAACCUCUUCAGAGGGGCACCGACGCCCGGACCAGACCUUCUGUGACGGAUCCGAGGUAGAGCAUAUAUGUUGGGACCCGAAAGAUGGUGAACUAUGCCUGCAUAGGGUGAAGCCAGAAGAAACUCUGGUGGAGGCUCGUAGCGAUUCUGACGUGCAAAUCGAUCGUCAAAUGUGGGUAUAGGGGCGAAAGACUAAUCGAACCAU
rnacentral:rRNA from 1 species